GCACUCCAGUACUCCGACUGGGGCUUCAAUUCAUCAGCACUGAUUUUAACUACCUUUUUUCCAUCCCUAUCAGUUGGCGGAACAAACGAUAGAGCCUUACCCAUAUUAUGAUUGCCUCUGACAACCUCGGCCAUAGUAGGGGAUGAAUGUUCAGAAAUGGCUAUAUUAGAAAAUUGCAAUUUCCUAACAGCCAAGUUAGCAGGAUCUGCAUCGUUUACCUUUAAUUGAGGCUCUACACUCACAAUUUCAUCUGCAUGCAAAGUGAUUUUAGUUUGAAAUUUCUCAGGUAGGAAGUUCCCAAAAGUUAAUGGUUCCAGUUCUUUGGUUUCUGCUGGAGCUGGAGUAACGAUUUGCGAAGUGGAUGGUGCUGGUUGUCACCGGCAACGCGCCAUAAUCGGCGAGAAAGCUUCUUGCUAACGUACGCCGUGAAGGCACUGUUACAUUGCCUUAUCGUGCGCC
rnacentral:lncRNA from 1 species